rnacentral:rRNA from 1 species
UACGUAGGGGGCAAGCGUUGUCCGGAUUUAUUGGGCGUAAAGACGCGUGUAGGCGGCUUGGUAGGUCCGCUGUGAAAACUCGAGGCUCAACCUCGAGAUGUCGGCGGAAACCACUUGGCUAGAGUCCGGAAGAGGAGAGUGGAAUUCCGUGGUGUAGCGGUGAAAUGCGCAGAUAUCGGGAGGAACACCAAUGGCGAAGGCAGCUCGCUGGACGGUACGUGACGCUGAGACGCGAAAGCGUGGGAGCAACAGG